rnacentral:rRNA from 1 species
AGUGAACGCUGGCGGUAGGCCUAACACAUGCAAGUCGAACGGCAGCACAGUAAGAGCUUGCUCUUACGGGUGGCGAGUGGCGGACGGGUGACGAAUACAUCGGAAUCUACUCUUUCGUGGGGGAUAACGUAGGUAAACUUACGCUAAUACCGCAUACGAUCCACGGGUGAAAGCAGUGGAUCUUCGCGCCUUGCGCGAUUGAAUUAGCCGAUUUCGGAUUGGCUAGUUGGCGGGGUACAGGCCCAGCAAGGGGCCGAUCCGUAGCUGGUCUGAGGGGAUGGUCAGCCACACUGGAGCUGAGACGCGAUCCAGACACUGACGGAAGGCAGCAGUGGGGAAGAGUGGACAAAGGGCGGAAGCCUGAUCCAGGCAUGCAGCGUGGGUGAAGAAGGCCUUCGGGUGGUAAAGCCCUUUUGUUGGGAAAGAACAGCAGCAGGUUAAUACCCCGCUGUUCUGACGGUACCCAAAGAAUAAGCACCGGCUAACUUCGU